rnacentral:rRNA from 1 species
UCCGGAGGGUGCAAGCGUUAUUCGGAAUUAUUGGGCGUAAAGGGCGUGUAGGCGGCCAGAUAAGUCAGAGGUGAAAGCCCGGAGCUGAACCCCGGAAGUGCCUUUGAAACUAUUUGGCUUGAGUGCGGGAGAGGAAGGCGGAAUUCCCAGUGUAGAGGUCAAAUUCGUAGAUAUUGGGAGGAACACCGGUGGCGAAGGCGGCUUUCUGGACCGACACUGACGCUGAGGCGCGAAAGCGUGGGGAGCAAACAGG